CAAUCAAUUUUCGGAAUUCAGAUACAAAGUUGAGAAAAAGGUGAACAGUUAUUUUAAUAAUAAUAAUAACUGCACCGAACAGCGUUCCUUCGUCUUGGUGGUUUAUUGAAAACAAUUUAAUUAAAUAAAUAUAUUGGUAGUGCAACUUAAAAAUCUCGUUUUUUUGGUAAAAAUAAAACUUUAUUUCAUAAAUUCUGUAAAUAACAUGUCAUUCAAAGUAUUGGCCAUCGGAAGCUAUAACCUUUUCUCAUCUUUCUGGCAGCAUAUGGAUUCCGCGCCAAAAGAACUGCUCAUUUUUUGAGACAAGGCAUUCUGCAUCGAUCGAAACAAGUGAUAGUCAGAAGGGGCAAUGUCUGGGCUAUACGGCGGGUGGGGUAAAACUUCCCAUCCACUAUUUUCCAAAUAGUUUUUAACAAGUUGAGCAAUAUGAGGCCGAGCGUUGUCAUGAUGGAAAAUUAUUGACUCAUGCCUGGUCGCAUAUUCUGGCCGUUUUUCGUUCAAUUCUCUCUUUAAACGGAUCAAUUGCGUUCGAUACAGGUCUCCCGUGAUCGUUUCACCCGGUUUUAACAGCUCAUAAUAGAGGACACCCUUCUGAUCUCACCAAAUACAGAGCAUUACCUUUUUUUUUUUCAGCAUUACCUUAGCACAAUAAAUAUCUUGCUUGGGCGUUGAUUUUGCUCGUUUACCGCGCUUCCCAUACGAUUUCUUACGCUACGUGUGUAUAAACUUGUAUUCACUUUGACAGAUGGAAUUUAAUAGUUUUUUUGACGCUCUUUAAGAUACACUCGUUGUCACUGUCAAAAAAAUGGCGCGUAUGAUACAUAAGAAGUUGACACAAAUACGACAUUUUUAAGUUGCACUACCAA